rnacentral:lncRNA from 1 species
GGCCCCCAACUGCCGCCCGCCCGCCGGCAGGGAGCGGCUCCCAUCGCCGCCCAGGCGUUAGCGAAAAUCGCGCGCACAGAGAGGAGCUUUCUCCUCUGCUAAAAAUAGGCUAUAAAGGAGUCGGCCUCAUGAUGGCUCCUUGAUUCAAUUUGCUGCAAAUUCUUUCCUGAAAGCCUUCCCCGCCUCACAUCCACACGCACAAAAAGGGGGGUGUCGAGGCACGAAGGGCGCGAGAGGGGGAGCAGGCCGAGGUGCACAUUUUCGGGAGACAACAACAACAUAAUUAGGGACCUAUGUGAAACAACAGUGUGGCUUGAACAGUAAAUACUUGGGUAAAAUACUAGGAUAAAUGAGCUGCCUUACAAAGGUCACAUGUGUUAUUACUUCACCACCACCACCACCACCUCCGGCCAUUCCAAAAUACCCAGCACACAAGAUCAGAGGCUGCACCAAACUUCAAGCAAAAAUUAGGCCCAUGAGGGGAGGCUCUCAGCUGGUGCCAUCCAGACGGAAGCACUUGUUGGCCACAUAAGUCAUCUUAGCACACAAGGCCCUCCUCUCCAUCUGUGCAGAGCACACUGCUUAUGACCUCUCCUCAUCAGUGUGAAGCUUGCAGUUUUCCAUGCUUCUGUGACUGAUUUCAUUACAACACAUUUUCCUUGGGGGGGGUCUUCAUUUAAAUUACAGAAGAGCCAGUUGUAUGCAAGCCUGAAAUCCCAGCCCUCAGGAGGGUGAGGCAAGAGGAUCUCUGUAAAUUCUGUGAGUUCUGGGCCAGCCUGGGCUACAUAGUGAGACCCUGUCCUAAAACAAAACAAACAAACAAGAAACACAACUAUAUUUUUUGGUUUUGCUGUCAUUGUAGUCAUAGGGGUAAACCCAGGGCCUUCACACUAAACUAUAGCCACAGCCCUUUUUCAUUGUUUAUUUUGAAACAGGAGCUUCCUCAGUCACUAAGUUACCCAGGCUGGGCUCAAAUUUGUGAUCUUUCUGCCUCAGCCUCCCCAAGUACCGGAAUUCCAGGCGUGCUCGAUCAUGCCCAGCACAACUAUCUUAUGAGUAUCUGUGUCUCUCAGGUUAUGGAAAUAUCAAGUUGUAUCCUGAGUUUGUCAUUUAGUCAGAACAGAAAAAGCAACCACGCACAUCAAAGAUUUCCCCAUCAAUCCCUUACUUCCAUUGACCAGGCAAGUAUUUCUCCAGGCAGCACUGAAGGCCUUCUAGUGUGUUGAUGCUUCUGCUAUUUGUUCAUUAAUUCAAGGAAUGUUUGCUGAAUGCUUAUUGUGCAGGUCUCUAUUAAGGAAGCUGUUUUUGUUGUUGCUGUCGUAGUUGCUGUGCUGGGGAUCAAAUACUGGGCUUCAUGCAUGCUAGGAAAGUACCAGUAAGCUAUAUCCCCAGCCCAGGAAGCUGUUCACAGUGAACCAAACACAGUGGAAUUUACAGCCUAGUCUCAAGUGGAGUGGGAGUUAGGAUGCACA